CUACGGGGCGCUGCAGUGAGGAAUAUUGCACAAUGGGGGGAACCCUGAUGCAGCAACGCCGCGUGGAGGAUGACGCAUUUCGGUGUGUAAACUCCUUUUAUAUGUCAAGAAAAUGACGGUAGCAUAUGAAUAAGCACCGGCUAACUCCGUGCCAGCAGCCGCGGUAAUACGGAGGGUGCAAGCGUUACUCGGAAUCACUGGGCGUAAAGGACGCGUAGGCGGGUUGGAAAGUCAGGUGUGAAAUCCUACAGCUUAACUGUAGAACUGCACUUGAAACUUCUAAUCUAGAGUAUGGGAGGGGGAGAUGGAAUUAGUGGUGUAGGGGUAAACUCCGUAGAUAUCACUAGGAAUACCUAAAGCGAGGGCGAUCUCCUGGAACAUUACUGACGCUAAGGCGUGAAAGCGUGGGGAGCAAACAGGAUUAGAUACCCGGGUAGUC
rnacentral:rRNA from 1 species